GCGCGCGUGGCGGAAUUGGCAGACGCAUCAGAUUUAGGUUCUGGUGACCGUAAGGUCGUGGAGGUUCAAGUCCUCUCGCGCGCA
rnacentral:tRNA from 1 species